rnacentral:rRNA from 1 species
ACGGGAGGCAGCAGUGGGGAAUAUUGCACAAUGGGGGAAACCCUGAUGCAGCGACGCCGCGUGAGUGAAGAAGUAUUUCGGUAUGUAAAGCUCUAUCAGCAGGAAAGAAAAUGACGGUACCUGACUAAGAAGCCCCGGCUAACUACGUGCCAGCAGCCGCGGUAAUACGUAGGGGGCAAGCGUUAUCCGGAUUUACUGGGUGUAAAGGGAGCGUAGACGGUAAGGCAAGUCUGAAGUGAAAUGCCAGGGCUCAACCCUGGAACUGCUUUGGAAACUGUCCUACUAGAGUGCAGGAGAGGUAAGUGGAAUUCCUAGUGUAGCGGUGAAAUGCGUAGAUAUUAGGAGGAACACCAGUGGCGAAGGCGGCUUACUGGACUGUAACUGACGUUGAGGCUCGAAAGCGUGGGGAGCAAACAGAAUUAGAUACCCUGGUA